rnacentral:lncRNA from 1 species
CCACGUACAAAUAGUGCACAUAGGUUCCAUCCGAUCGUCAACUAGCCCGCUUAAAACAAAAGGCAAACAAGCAAUUACGUGCGUCUACAUAGAUUAAAUUAUCUUGAUCCUUUAUUUUAUCUUUUAACGGCUGGGAUUAAAAGAUGCAAACGUAACGUAAAAAUAUGUACGUGUUCAAGUAGUAUAACAUGCCACGUACAAAUAGUGCACAUAGGUUCCAUCCGAAUCGUCAACUAGCCCGUAGAAAGAAAAAAAAAUUAAUCAAUGGGUCAAGGAAGCAAAAAUAGUAGGAAACCUAAACAAAUAAGGACAACGAUUGGACCUAACCAGACCUCACGUGAGGAAGUUCCAAAACAGGAACCAAGACAUGAAAAAAAAGACAGGUUUCCGAUCUGCUUUCACGGUCUCGGCCACCUCAACCCAUGCACCUCCAUCCAUAUAUAAACAAGUACAGCCGGCCGCAGAAGCACACACCAAAAAUUUAGAAGUCGGCAACCAAGAUGGCUUGAAGACAUCACAUGCGAUUCGGCAACUCAGAUGGCUUGAAGACAUCACACGCAACUGGGCCACUUGACAUUUGAUACGCAAAGCCACCUCCAGCCGUUUCACUCUACGUCCGACGAAGUCACGCCAAAGCACACUCAACGCAUGACGAAGCCAUGCCCAGCUACUCCAAUCGACCUCGGAAGAAGUGACGCCAAAGCACUUUUGGCCUAAAUCAUCAGAUAAUUUGGUAAUUGUUAGUAACAGUCUUAUUUUCUCUGGAUAGAAUCUUUAUAAACACUAUAUCAAUUGACAAAUUGUUCCCUAUUAAUAUUCAAGGCAAAACACUAUGACAUGCAAGAAGUUGAGUUGACUUAAAUACAAGGGGACGGAACUGGAACAUUCAUCAAGUAAAACAAAUACGAAUGUGGGAUUCAGUCAAUCCUACCACUGAUGAGCUUAUUAGCCUAGAUAUGAUAUAAGAGCAAAGGAUCAUCAGAAAUCGACCAAAUAAUCAAUGCGGAGAUCUCAGACAAAGAUGUUGAUCCGGACGGAUAUGAAGCUGUUGAAAAUUUCAUGAUGCACGGGCCUUGCAGAGAGGCAAAUACAAAAUGACCAUGCAUGAUGGACAACAGAUGCACUAAACACUUCCCAAAAGGAUACAAUGUCGAUACCACAAUCGAUGAGGAUG